GGGUUUCCAGGGUAAAGCUGAUCUGCCCUGGGUGAGUCGGGGCCUAAGGCGAGGACGAGAGUCGUAGCCGAUGGACAACAGGUGGAGAUUCCUGUACUGCGGUAUGACAGAACUGUGGGGACACGUAAGGAAAGCGGAAGCCGGGAAUGGAAAGCCCGGUGCAAGCAGGGUACCAGUGCGGAAGGCAAAUCCGCCGCACAAUGGGAAGCUGUGAAGCGGAGCGAAAUAAAGUAGCGAAGUCCGUGAGCCAUGCGUCAAGAAAAGCCGCUAUUGUUUGUACCGUACCCGUACCGUAAACCGACACAGGUGGAUGAGGAGAGAAUCCUAAGGCCGGCGGAAGAAGCAUUGUCAAGGAACUCGGCAAAAUGGCCCCGUAACUUAGGGAUAAGGGGUGCCUGUGGAAACAGGCCGCAGAGAAUAGGCUCAAGCAACUGUUUAGCAAAAACACAGGUCUAUGCGAAACCGAAAGGUGAGGUAUAUGGGCUGACGCCUGCCCGGUGCUGGAAGGUUAAGAGGAGAGGUCGGAGCAAUCGAAGCCUUGAAUUUAAGCCCCAGUAAACGGCGGCCGUAACAAUAACGGUCCUAAGGUAGCGAAAUUCCUUGUCGGGUAAGUUCCGACCCGCACGAAAGGCGUAAUGAUUUGAGCGCUGUCUCGACAAUGCAUCCGGUGAAAUUGAAGUACCAGUGAAGAUGCUGGUUACCCGCGCCAGGACGGAAAGACCCCAUGGAGCUUUACUCCAGUUUGGUACUGGGAUCCGGUAUUGCAUGUACAGGAUAGGUGGGAGGCAGAGAAUGUGCAGCGCCAGCUGCACAGGAGCCGCUGUUGGGAUACCACCCUUGCAGUAUUGGGUUUCUAACCAGCCGCCGUGAACCGGCGGUGGGACAAUGCCAGACGGGGAGUUUGACUGGGGCGGUCGCCUCCGAAAGGGUAUCGGAGGCGCCCAAAGGUUCCCUCAGGAUGGACGGAAACCAUCCAAAGAGUGCAAAGGCAGAAGGGAGCUUGACUGUGACACCGACGGGUGGAACAGGUACGAAAGUAGGGCUUAGUGAUCCGGUGGUAUUAAGUGGGAAUGCCAUCGCUCAACGGAUAAAAGCUACCCUGGAUAACAGGCUUAUCACUCCCAAGAGUUCACAUCGGCGGAGUGGUUUGGCACCUCGAUGUCGGCUCAUCGCAUCCUGGGGCUGUAGUAGGUCCCAAGGGUUGGGCUGUUCGCCCAUUAAAGCGGUACGCGAGCUGGGUUCAGAACGUCGUGAGACAGUUCGGUCCCUAUCCGGCGUGGGCGUAGGAUAUCUGAAGGGAGCUGUCCUUAGUACGAGAGGACCGGGAUGGACGGACCGCUGGUGUACCGGUUGAGCAGCCAGGCUCAUGGCCGGGUAGCCAAGUCCGGAAGGGAUAAACGCUGAAGGCAUCUAAGCGUGAAGCCCCCCCUGAGAUGAGAUAUCCCAUUCGAAAGAAGUAAGACCCCUUGAAGACGACGAGGUAGAUAGGCUGGGGAUGGAAGUGCAGUAAUGUACGGAGUUGACCAGUACUAAUCGGUCGAGGGCUUGACC
rnacentral:rRNA from 1 species